AUCGGCGCGUCUGAAAUACACAAUUGUACUUUAAUGGUGAAAAAUUGGCGCCAACAUAUUAAAUUAUUUUUGUUAGCAGAUCCAAAAACUAGAGGUCAUUAAAUAAAGCUCGUUAACAAAGGUUGGCAGACAUCACGGCAUCGAAUGUAAGACAGUAAUAACAACUAUAAUGCUGUUACCUCGCUUAUUGGCUACAUCCUUUCGUAGAAUCUAUUUGUAUCAUAUUACAGAUAUUAUUUACUUUGUACUCUAGAGAUUUACUCUGUAUCAUUGUUACCAUGUACAUUAAUAUAAUUAUAUAAUUUAUAAUGUA